UAKAAUGACUCUCGGCAACGGAUAUCUAGGCUCUUGCAUCGAUGAAGAACGUAGCGAAAUGCGAUACUUGGUGUGAAUUGCAGAAUCCCGUGAACCAUCGAGUCUUUGAACGCAAGUUGCGCCCGAUGCCAUUAGGUUGAGGGCACGUCUGCCUGGGUGUCACAU
rnacentral:rRNA from 1 species